rnacentral:lncRNA from 1 species
AUGCCGCGCCGACCGGCCCGGCUGGGGGUGGGUGGGGUCGGGUGGGAGGGGGUGCAGCGGGGAGGGGCGGGGGUGCAGCGGGGAAGGGGCGGGGGGCGCGGCGGGGGAGAGGGCGGGGGGCGCGGCGGGGAAGGGGCGGGGGGCGCGGCGGGGAGGGGCGGGGGGGCGCAGCGGGGAGGGGCGGGGGGCGCAGCGGGGAGGGGCGGAGGUGCAGCGGGGAAGGGGCGGGGGGCGCGGCGGGGAGAGGCGGGGGGUACAGCGGGGAGAGGCGAGGGGGGUGCAGCGGGGAGGGGCGGGGGGUACAGCGGGGAGAGGCGAGGGGGGUGCAGCGGGGAGGGGGCGGGGAUACAGCAGGAGAGGUGGGGGUGCAGUGGGGAGGGGCGGGGAGGGGCGGGGGAUACAGUGGGGAGAAGCGGGGGAUACAGCAGGAGAGGCGGGGGGGGUGCAGUGGGGAGGGGCGGGGGUGCAGCGAGGAGGGGCGGGGAGGGGCGGAGGGUGCAGCGGGGAGGGGCGGGGGGGCAGCGGGGAAGGGGCGGGGGAUACAGUGGGGAGAGGCGGGGGAUACAGCAGGAGAGGCGGGGGGGGGGGUGCAGCGGGGAGGGGCGGGGGGCGCAGGGAGGAGAGGAGGGGGUGCAGCGGGGAGGGGCGGGGGAUACAGCAGGAGAGGCGGGGGGUCGGAGUGCAGCGGGGAGGGGCGGGGGGCAUGGGGGUGAGGGGCGGGGGGUGCAGCGGGGAGGGGCGGGGGGCGGGGGCGCCGCGGGCAGGCAGCAGCGCGGGCGGAGGCGGAGGCGGAGGCGGAGCGCGGAGAGGCCGGGAGCCAGCGAGCGAUUCCGGGAAGCGGCCGCGGGAGGGAGGCGGCGAUCGCCGCGGGGUCUGGCGCGCCAGCGGCCCCCCCGCCCCCGCCCGCCCCUUUACCUCGGCAGGGUGGGCUCGCGGCUCCCCGCAGGGGUGCGGGCCUCCGGGCCCCCGCUGCCGCCGGCGCCCCCGCCCCUCCGGCUGCGGCUCCCGCUGCGGCUCCGGCUCCGGCUCCGGCUCCGGCUCCGGCUGCGGCUCGGGCUCCGGCGCCGGCGGCCCGGAUGCGCGCUGCGGGCGGCCCCGGGGCUGUGGCGGGCGCGGGGCCGGGGGCGGCCGGGGCUCCGCGGGGGGACGCCGAGGUCGCUCGGCGGGGCUGCCUUCCCCGGGGCAGCGACCGUCUGCGGACCUGCGCGCUCGGAGCGCGGCCUCGGGCAGCUCGCGGACGCCCGGGUCGCCGGCGGGGGGCGGAGCACCCGACGGGUUCCUCUAUUGACGUUUACCGACCGGGCUCCUACCACAGCCCCGCACCCCCCUCCGGAACACCCCGACCCCGGAGCUCAGCGGGGGCGGGGACCCGGGGCUGGGGCUCUGUUUACCUGGGAUCCUCAGCGCAGAGCAGCCCUUUUUGCACUCGAUAAAAAUGCGCUGAAUGAAUGA